GAGGAUUAGCACCUCUAAAUCUGAGGCCAUGGUUCUCAGCAGGAAACCGAUGGAUUGCCUACUCCAGGUAGGGAAUGUGUCCUUACCCCAAGUGAAGGAGUUCAAGUACCUCGGGGUCUUGUUCACGAGUGAGGGGAAGAUGGAGUGUGAGUUUGGCCGGAGAAUCGGAGCAGCGGGGGCGGUAUUGCACUUGCUUUACCGCACCGUUGUGACGAAAAGAGAGCUGAGCCGGAAGGCAAAGCUCUCGAUCUACCGGUCAAUCUUCGUUCCUACCCUCACUUAUGGUCAUGAAGGAUGGGUCAUGACCGAAAGAACUAGGUCACGGGUACAAGCGGCCGAAAUGGGUUUCCUCAGGAGAGUGGCUGGCGUCUCCCUUAGGGAUAGGGUGAGAAGCUCAGCCAUUCGCGAGGAGCUCGGAGUAGAGCCGCUGCUCCUUUGCGUCGAAAGGAGGCAGUUGAGGUGGUUUGGGCAUCUGGUGAGGAUGCCCCCUGGGCGCCUCCCUAGGGAGGUGUUUCAGGCACGGCCAGCUGGGAAGAGGCCCCGGGGAAGACCCAGGACUAGGUGGAGAGAUUAUAUCUCUGCACUGGCCUGGGAACGCCUUGGGAUCCCCCAGUCAGAGCUGGUAGAUGUGGCCCGGGAAAGGGAAGUUUGGGGUCCCCUGCUGGAGCUGUUGCCCCCGCGACCCGACCCCGGAUAAGCGGUUGAAGAUGGAUGGAUGGAUGGACCAUUCAUUACUUGGUGAAUAGAUCUAUGAUAAAAAAUUAAAAACUUGCAAAAACACGUAUGUACACAUAGGUACACGUAUGAGAAGUAUGUGACAGUAAUACACAAAGUGAAUUAUUUCAGUAGACGAGGUUUGAGAUGGUUUGUCGUUGUCAGGAUUGGGUAGGAAGGCAGGACUCAAACGCAGACUUUUAACAAAAAAAGACUUUAAUAGUCAAAAACUCCACAAAGUAAAAGGCGGACGCAGGCAGGCAGGCAGGCAGGCAGGCAGGAGGAGGAGGAGGAGGAGGAGCAUCCACGGUAGACAGGGACAUCCGUGACCAAGGACAAUGACGCCACAAGUGACAAACAACACACACUGCUUAAAUACACUAGGGAGGUGCAGGUGAUUGGACACAGGUGGAAACAAUCCGACAAUCACAGGGGAUGACAGGACCAGGCAGGAAGUGAAGUUACCCGGGGACACGAGUGGCAGAAAAUUACAAAAUAAGACAGGAAGUGCACCACACCGUGACAGUCGUUCUGGGAUGGAAGUAAAGCUCACUUUAUUCAACGUGAAGGUUUAAGGUUUUCCUGGUUGAGACAAUGAAGUCCGAUCCAGAAAGUCCAGCUGGGAGUAACGCAAGCUGAAAUAGCACACGAGUAGAAAACAGAUACGCACGUAGCAAAGGAAUCCUGUUUCAGGCGGCACCUACACUACUGUUUGUCUGAACCUGGCUGAAGAGUUCAUCCACUGGAGACCAUGAAGGCCUGUACAAAAUGUCAUAGCAAUCCAUCCAAUGGGAGUUGAGACUUCACUCAAAGCUAAAGACGUCCCCCUGCCGGUUGACAUACAUAAUGAUUCAACCUCAGGGGAUUGUGAAAAGGCCCACUUAUUGCCAAGAUAUUUCACCAAAGUGGUGAAAGAAACCAGCAAACUUUUACAUUCAACGUGAAUGGACCUUUGUCAGGUAUACAGAAAGUGUAUAAUAUCAUUUUUUUUUGCCAAAACAGCUCAUUUUUAUGAUAACUGCAUUUGAGAAAACGAUUCAGCCUUUUUCUUUAUCCUUAAGUGUACACAGCCUCUGUGAUAUACUAUGGAGUGGUACCUUUUCGUUGGUGCUCUGACAGUGCGAGCUUGCAAUGUAGUAGAUUUAUAAAUAAUAAAAUGAAAAAGGGAGAUUUGAGAAGAGAAAGAAGGAUUCCUCAGUUGUCUCCCUCCUGGGGGAGCAACCAUUUGCUCUGACAUUUGCUUUGCCUACUUGAGUGUUUCCCUUAAGCGCCCUGACUGCUGUAAGCCCAGAGAUGGAGCGGAGCAAAGGAGGGUAAAACGGGAUGAUGGAGCAUGUCGGUGUAGAGAGAAGGAGAAAAAGUGCAAAGACAGAUAUUAGUGGAAAAUGGCGGUAUAAGAAAGGAUGAAGGAUGAGGAGAAAAGUGAAUAGAAGAGGGAAGAGCGGUGCACCACUACAGUGGACACAUUAAGCAAUGCAAAAGCUUGAGGACCACUGUGAUGGUGAUGAUCUAUUCUGUUAAAACACCAUUACUGUAUAUGUGUACUAUAACUACUCCGGUAACAUUUGCUAACAGACAAGUCUGUCAAAGUUCUACCUUUGAGUUUGUCGCAGGAGGAAUGAGGGAAUGUAGUCUGUGUCAUUGUUGCCCUCAGUCAUUCUCACUCUGCACUGCGAAUACACACACACACACACACACACACACAGCAUCCAUCCACUUGGCCAAAGGAACUUUGAGGAAGCAUUGCUAGUGGUUCCUGUCAUUGUGAAGCGGUCAACUGCAGCAUAGAGGUAAUGAGUGUGUGUGUGCGAGUGUAAUGUUGUCGGUAUCUUGUGGCCUGGGUCACAGCACAUUGACUCACUGACAUUACUCUAAUUACAACACACACACACACACACAGGGUUCUUGUGAUGUUGGGCUGCUGUGUCAGUGCACAGUAAAAAAACAAAAACGAGGGCAACAGAAGUGGCACAGAGGUUACAAAGUAACAAUGACUUCUUCUGUCUUUUCUGGUGUAUUUCCCAUCUCGGUGUUGCACAAUGUAACGACACUACAAAGUCACGGCAAUACUAAAAGCGGUGACAUACAGACAUUUAAUUACAGUACAGGUAUUU
ensembl:lncRNA